rfam:Lachnoclostridium sp. An169 An169_contig_19, whole genome shotgun sequence.
GAAAGGGUGUGCGUCAUGCAUGCCUGGGCUGGGAUAUCGGGAGAUAGUCCUGGUAGGAUGCCGCUUUAACACCGAAGCGAAUGAUUUCGCAUCAGGCAUCCGCAGCCUCAGUUAGA